ensembl:snRNA U6 U6 spliceosomal RNA
UUGCUUUGGUAGCACAUAUACUAAAAUUGGAACAAUACAGAGAUUAGGACGGCCCUUACACAAAGAUGUAAAUUCGUAAAGCAUUCCAUAUUAGG